UCUGGGGUGUGGCCUAUGUACAGAGAAGCCCUCACCUCGUA
rfam:Echinops telfairi cont1.360047, whole genome shotgun sequence.